rnacentral:rRNA from 1 species
UACGGGGGGGAGCAAGCGUUGUUCGGAUUUACUGGGCGUAAAGGGCGCGUAGGCGGUCAGCACAAGUCAGUUGUGAAAUCUCCGGGCUUAACUCGGAAAGGUCAACUGAUACUGUGCGGCUAGAGUGCAGAAGGGGCAACUGGAAUUCUCGGUGUAGCGGUGAAAUGCGUAGAUAUCGAGAGGAACACCUGCGGCGAAGGCGGGUUGCUGGGCUGACACUGACGCUGAUGCGCGAAAGCCAGGGGAGCGAACGGG